GAUGAACGCUGGCGGCGUGCUUAACACAUGCAAGUCGAACGGAAAAGCUCCUCCUUGCAGGGGUGCUCCAAUGGCGAACGGGAGAGUAACACGAGGUAGAUCUGCCCUGCACUUCGGGAUAAGCCUGGGAAACUGGGUCUAAUACCGGAUCGCUCGAUGGUUUGGAUGCCAUUGUGGGAAGUUUUUCGGUGGGGGAUGAGCUCGCGGCCUAUCAGCUUGUUGGUGGGGUAAUGGCCUACCAAGGCGUCGACGGGUAGCCGGCCUGAGAGGGUGUACGGCCACAUUGGGACUGAGAUACGGCCCAGACUCCUACGGGAGGCAGCAGUGGGGAAUAUUGCACAAUGGGCGCAAGCCUGAUGCAGCGACGCCGCGUGGGGGAUGACGGCCUUCGGGUUGUAAACCCCUUUCGCUAGGGACGAAGCGCAAGUGACGGUACCUGGAGAAGAAGCACCGGCUAACUACGUG
rnacentral:rRNA from 1 species